AGAGUUUGAUCAUGGCUCAGAACGAACGCUGGCGGCAGGCCUAACACAUGCAAGUCGAACGAGAAGCCACCUUCGGGUGGUGGACAGUGGCAGACGGGUGAGUAACGCGUGGGAACGUGCCUUUCGGUUCGGGAUAACCCAGGGAAACUUGGGCUAAUACCGGAUACGCCCUUCGGGGGAAAGAUUCAUUGCCGAAAGAUCGGCCCGCGUCGGAUUAGCUAGUUGGUGGGGUAAUGGCCUACCAAGGCGACGAUCCGUAGCUGGUCUGAGAGGAUGACCAGCCACACUGGGACUGAGACACGGCCCAGACUCCUACGGGAGGCAGCAGUGGGGAAUAUUGGACAAUGGGCGCAAGCCUGAUCCAGCCAUGCCGCGUGGGUGAAGAAGGCCUUAGGGUUGUAAACCCCUUUCAGCGGGGAAGAUAAUGACGGUACCCGCAGAAGAAGUCCCCGGCUAACUCCCGUGCCAGCAGCCGCGGUA
rnacentral:rRNA from 1 species